UACGUAGGAGGCAAGCGUUGUCCGGAUUUACUGGGCGUAAAGCGCGCGCAGGCGGCAGUGCAAGUAAGGUGUGAAAUCUCCCUGCUCAACGGGGAGGGUGCACUUUAGACUGCACAGCUAGAGGUCGGUAGAGGGGGGUGGAAUUGCUGGUGUAGCGGUGAAAUGCGUAGAGAUCAGCAGGAACACCCGUGGCGAAGGCGGCCCCCUGGGCCGUACCUGACGCUGAGGCGCGAAGGCUAGGGGAGCGAAC
rnacentral:rRNA from 1 species